AUUGAACGCUGGCGGCAUGCUUUACACAUGCAAGUCGAACGGUAACAGGGUGCUUGCACCGCUGACGAGUGGCGAACGGGUGAGUAAUGCGUCGGAACGUGCCGAGUAGUGGGGGAUAACGCAGCGAAAGUUGUGCUAAUACCGCAUACGUACUGAGGUAGAAAGUGGGGGACCUUCGGGCCUCACGCUAUUCGAGCGGCCGACGUCUGAUUAGCUAGUAGGUGAGGUAAAGGCUCACCUAGGCGACGAUCAGUAGCGGGUCUGAGAGGAUGAUCCGCCACACUGGGACUGAGACACGGCCCAGACUCCUACGGGAGGCAGCAGUGGGGAAUUUUGGACAAUGGGCGGAAGCCUGAUCCAGCCAUGCCGCGUGUCUGAAGAAGGCCUUCGGGUUGUAAAGGACUUUUGUCAGGGAGGAAAUCCCUAGUGCUAAUAACACCGGGGGAUGACAGUACCUGAAGAAUAAGCACCGGCUAACUACGUGCCAGCAGCCGCCGUAA
rnacentral:rRNA from 1 species